AAUGGGCGCAAGCCUGAUCCAGCAAUGCCGCGUGUGUGAAGAAGGCCUGCGGGUUGUAAAGCACUUUCAGUGGGGAAGAACGGGCCAAGGUUAAUACCCCUGGCUUCUGACGUUACCCACAGAAGAAGCACCGGCUAACUCCGUGCCAGCAGCCGCGGUAAUACGGAGGGUGCAAGCGUUAAUCGGAAUCACUGGGCGUAAAGCGCACGUAGGCGGCACGUUAAGUCAGCUGUGAAAGCCCUGGGCUCAACCUGGGAAUGGCAGUUGAUACUGACGCGCUCGAGUCUGAGAGAGGGGGGUGGAAUUCCAGGUGUAGCGGUGAAAUGCGUAGAUAUCUGGAGGAACACCGGUGGCGAAGGCGGCCCCCUGGCUCAUGACUGACGCUGAGGUGCGAAAGCGUGGGGAGCAAA
rnacentral:rRNA from 1 species